rnacentral:rRNA from 1 species
UACGUAGGGUGCUAGCGUUAUCCGGAUUUACUGGGCGUAAAGCGUCCGUCGGCGUCUUGGUAAGUUUUCCGUUUAAGCCUGGGGCUCAACUCCAGAAAAGCGGGGAAAACUGCCAGGAUUGAGUUUGUUUGGGGGAACUAGAAUUCUCGGUGGAGGGGUGAAAUCCGUAGAUAUCUGGAGGAACACCGGUGGCGAAGGCGGCAUUCUGGACUGCAACUGACACUGAAAGACGAAAGCCAGGGGAGCAAACGGG